GACGAACGCUGGCGGCGUGCCUAAUACAUGCAAGUCGAACGAGAGCGACCGGUGCUUGCACUGGUCAAUCUAGUGGCGAGCGGGUGAGUAACACGUGGGUAACCUGCCCAUCAGAGGGGGAUAACAUCCGGAAACGGAUGCUAAAACCGCAUAGGUCUUCGAACCGCAUGGUUUGAAGAGGAAAAGAGGCGCAAGCUUCUGCUGAUGGAUGGACCCGCGGUGCAUUAGCUAGUUGGUGAGGUAACGGCUCACCAAGGCCGUGAUGCAUAGCCGACCUGAGAGGGUGAUCGGCCACAUUGGGACUGAGACACGGCCCAAACUCCUACGGGAGGCAGCAGUAGGGAAUCGUCCGCAAUGGACGCAAGUCUGACGGAGCAACGCCGCGUGAGUGAAGAAGGUUUUCGGAUCGUAAAACUCUGUUGUUAGAGAAGAACAAGUGCUAGAGUAACUGUUAGCGCCUUGACGGUAUCUAACCAGAAAGCCACGGCUAACUACGUG
rnacentral:rRNA from 1 species